rnacentral:rRNA from 1 species
AUUGAACGCUGGCGGCAUGCUUUACACAUGCAAGUCGAACGGUAACAGGGUGCUUGCACCGCUGACGAGUGGCGAACGGGUGAGUAAUGCGUCGGAACGUGCCGAGUAGUGGGGGAUAACGUAGCGAAAGUUGUGCUAAUACCGCAUACGUACUGAGGUAGAAAGUGGGGGACCUUCGGGCCUCACGCUAUUCGAGCGGCCGACGUCUGAUUAGCUAGUAGGUGAGGUAAAGGCUCACCUAGGCGACGAUCAGUAGCGGGUGUGAGAGGAUGGUCCGCGACACUGGGGAGGGGACACGGGCCAGACUCCUACGGGAGGGAGCAGUGGGGAAUUUUGGACAAUGGGCGAAAGCCUGAUCCAGCCAUGCCGCGUGUCUGAAGAAGGCCUUCGGGUUGUAAAGGACUUUUGUCGGGGAGGAAAUCCCCAGCGUUAAUACCGCUGGGGGAUGACAGUACCUGAAGAAUAAGCACCGGCUAACUACGUGCCAGCCGCCGCAGUAA